AGCAGCCUUCAGGAAGUGGAGAGAUGUCUCGGACAGGAAGCAGGACACCAGGAGAUGUCUGGAGAGAGUCCGCCUCCUGCAGGACAAGGGUAGAAUGCAGGCUGCGUUUGCAGUUUGGUGUCAAAGUGCUCGGGUAAGGAAGGAGUUAAGGAGAAUACGGGAGAAAUCACAGAGCUCAACUCUCCUGGUAAGUCAGCUUGUGUUCCUGUGCUUUCAUGUGACUGUUACACUCAGACAAGAUAUUCAGAUACUGGCAUUUAUACAAAAAAAAGUACUCUCUUCUCCGGGUGUGUGUGUUUAAAAACUGUGUGUGUGGGCACUUAGGAUGGUAUAAAUGCAGAGCACUAAUUCUGAGUAUGGGUCACCAUACUUAGCCACAUUGUAAUAGGUCCAGUGUGUUUUACACUGUUAGAAAAAAUUGUGAGAUAAAAAGUCACAAACAUUUUAUUUAUUUAAUUUUUUAUUCAGUGGCAGAAACGGGCUUCCAUAGUUAACAGUUGCAUGGAAAACACACAGUUAUACGUUACAUUUCCAGUCAUUAAAAUUAUUAUUCAGUCUUGUUUUUAUGAAAACCUUGAACUGUUAACUGAUCCAAAAUCCGAGCCUUAAGAUGUAUUGAUCGAUUGCUGUAAUGAAGAAUCAGCAAUGCUUUUAUAAAAUCUUGCCUUGUUCUUACGUGCCUCUAAAGUGUUACAUUAAUAACAGCUGAUGCAUCCUUCUUGCAUCAGAGCACUUGAUAUGAAGCAAAGAUUUGAAGUUGAGCCGUUGUGCACUAUUUAUGCCAGCAUGUUUUGUCAGGUGUUUGUCAGCGUGGAGCGCCCUGGUUCAGCGCAGUGCAUUACUUCUGUGUUACUGUCAUCAGAGAAAGGUGCUGGCACUCAAGACGUGCUUUCGGCACUGGAGCAGAUCUCGACAGCUGCAUGCUCUUCUCAAGCAUUUCCUCAUCCAGCAGUUUCAUUCAAGACAGAGACACACAGUGCUGAAAUGGAGAACAGGUAUUUCAGCAGAAGGACUAUCUGCCAGGCUCCUGCUCCACAACACUCUUCAGAAGUGGACAGAGAUAUUAGAGAAACACCGGCUGGCUAAGUAUGAUGACCUCCUCUUCCUCUCUUUCUUAGCAAUGAUAUUUCUCUCUGCGUCAGGUCUUUGCUCAUUUCUCAUUGAGAUCUCACAGAUCCGCUCAUGA
rnacentral:lncRNA from 1 species